CGGGUGAGUAAUACAUCGGAACGUGCCCAGUAGUGGGGGAUAACCCGGCGAAAGCCGGACUAAUACCGCAUACGACCUACGGGUGAAAGCAGGGGAUCGCAAGACCUUGCGCUAUCGGAGCGGCCGAUGUCAGAUUAGCUAGUUGGUGGGGUAAAAGCCCACCAAGGCGACGAUCUGUAGCUGGUCUGAGAGGACGACCAGCCACACUGGGACUGAGACACGGCCCAG
rnacentral:rRNA from 1 species